rnacentral:lncRNA from 1 species
AGGCUCUUCAGGGGUUCAGGGGGGUCUCCAAGAGAGAGAGAGCUUUUGUGAGGGGAACUUCAUGUGAGAGAGAAUUGGAUGUACAAGGGUUGAGGGUGAGGUCUCCUCUUGUAAAAUUUUUUUUUUCAUAGUAAAGUUUGCAUGCCCCGUGGAGGCGAGCCCUUUUGUGGCUGAUCCACGUAUUUUGAUUGUUUUUUCUUCUGUUUUGUUUCUUCUUUCUUCCUGUUGC